UUCGUUUUGUUUUUUGUUAUUGCUAAAGUUCUUGUUAAUUUGUUAUUUGUUUUCGUUUGUAAGUGUUGAAUCCCAGUUUUUGUUAGGUUUUUGUUAAGUUUUACUCAUUGUUUACUUGUUGUUUCAAUAUGAGUGAAAUUCCAAAAAGAUAUUGUGUUUUUGGCUGUGACCCUUUAGUCACACUUGGUGUACCCAAACAUCGCUUCCCUCAUCCCGAGAAAAAUCCUGAUUUGUUUGAUGCUUGGGUCUCAGUCAUAGGAGAAAGAGUCAAAGAAACUGAUCGUAUGAAAAUAUACAAGAACAAAAGAGUAUGUGACCAACAUUUUGAUCCAAAACACAAAAUAUCUGGAAGACGUUUAAAGCAGUCUGCAAUCCCAUCAAUAAAUUUACAUCGUGUGCGGCAAAGCAGUUCUACAUUCAUACAGGCGGAUCACAGCUACACUCAUCCGCAAAGGGAAUAUGUCCAACCUGUGGCAUUGACGGACAUAACAAACUUACCGGGACCAUCUAGGCUACCAGACCUACCAGAAAUACCUAUGCCAUCAGGAUCUACAAAAACAACAUGUCCGGUCAUUGCUGAAAAAUCCCAAGAGAGAAAACCGCGAAG